ensembl:lncRNA
AGAAGCCAGGGGAUACCUUCUCUGCAUGAUGAAACCCAUGGGACCACCAAAUUAUUACAAAUUACUGGGACGUCAGAACUCCCUUCACGAAGGCAGCGCUGUAGCAGCCUGGUGUGCUUUGGAUUUAACUGCAUGGGAGAAGUCCCCCAGCUCUGGAAGGGACUCUGUGUUCUUGGCAGGGCAGAGCCCACUCUCACUACCUGGGCCACUCGCCCAGGAUUUGAUUAAAAGGUUGUUGUAACCAGGAGAAAUGAGGAUCUGAUGUACUGGGAUGGGACCCAGCACAUCCAUUUCCCAGGGCCAGCUUGCUGGGCAAGAAACACUCCAUCUGGCCCCAAAGUGGUGACCAGCAGUGGCUGCUCAGCAUCACAUCCUUGGUUUCCAGGUGCCCUUGGGUCCCACCAUGACCCUAAUGCAGAGCAGCAGGAUGCACAGAGUGCUCUUAGGUUAAUCCAAACCACUUUUUUUUUCCCCAAGCACUUAGGGCUGAGCUUUCUACCAGCCUGCAGUAUCACUGUGCUUUCACACACUGCAUUUUGGUGCAGAAUUUGGCUUUCUGCUUGGAGAAACCAGGAGGCAGCAACGGCAAUGGGCUGAGAGCACACAUUGGUGUUAGGGAGUGCCUUGGCAGUAAGAUGGUGUUAAAAGAAAGGGUGGGAUGGAAGAAAAUGCUCUUUAAAAGCCAACACCCCACCCAGUGAUGGGCUGUCUAUCAGACCUCCCCUUGGGCAGGGCUGGGCUCCCCUCCCUGUAUUUCUCUACCUCCCUCUGGUCACCACACCAGAAGUUUCCAUAGCUCCCACCAUGACUUUUAACACAAAUGGAGAGUUCGGAGUUAUUUGGUCUGAGCACAGAAAUAAGAGUACAUCUUCUCUUUCCUUCUGAUUAAUAGUUCCAGUCAACAUCAGCUAACUUAUUCCUAUUGACAGAUCUAUGAAAUACUUGCAGAAUCAACAGCUAUAAAAUGUAUGGCCGUGCACUGGCACCAUAAAGCCGUAACGCUCGUGUCUAUUGCAAUCAAGGCUUUUAAAACCUAAUUACUUCUGGGUGACAUCAGUCAUAUAUUUUCAUGUGAAAUUACAGUGGCAUGCAAGUGCCCAGCAAAAUAAAAGAAAACAAAUGAUGUCCUGUAAUAACGGAGAAGUGAACUAUCAUUUUUAAUCUGGCAUGAAAGCUCCAACUGAUGGAGCUUAAUACAACUUGUUAAAACACCUAACAAGCGAGGAAGUGAUUAAGUAUUGUCCUUUUGCCUCUGGGAAAUGGGAUCUGCUCUCAGCAAGCACAGAGUGACUGAGAUAGCCCUUUGGAGCUGAUUGAGCUGCACAUAAAGUAACUUCUAAUGAUCUCAGUCCACUUUGAGCCAUAAAGAUUUAGAAGGGACAAUAUUUUAGAAAUGAUCAAGUUCCACUCGUUUUAUUAGUGAGGAUAAAACACCUUUGUGGAGGAAAUUAAACAGAAUAAAUUGCUGGAGCCGUCUGCAGCUUCCAUCACUUGGUGGUGUCGGAAGAGCACAGCGUGGCACUGCACUAAGCAGCAGCACAUCCACAGCAGAGGGAAGCGAGGGGAGAAGCUGCCUUGUGAUCUCCCAAGGGAAACCGAGGCACACGGAAGCCACAGCAGGUUUAAGGCUGCCCAUGCUCCCUCUGCAGUGGGAGUGAAGAUGCAGCACCUUUUGAGCAUGCGGAGGGCUCUGGGGAUGCUCUGCCUUGCUCUCCUGGCUGUCAAAUCACCUCCAGUGCUGAUACCAAACAUGCACGAGUUCCCAGCUCCUGACCAUGGCGGAACCUGCUCCAGUUCUUCUGACUUUUAUUAAGGACACUUUUGUGUUGUUGUUUGGUUUUUUUUUUUUUUUUUUCCAGGAGAUGUUUCUUUUAUGGUGCUUGAAUUAAGUUUUCAAGGUUAAUUGUCCAAUUUGAUGUCUUUGGUUCAAUAAAUAAUUCAGAGACAGUUUACGUCCUCCCAUGUAAAGAUGCCUGCUGAGGUUACCGUCGCAGCCAGGCACUUCCUCUGAUGUGCUAUUAGCUAAUGUGCUGAAGGUUCUUCUACCCCAUUUUGGAACAUUUAUGCUCUUUGAGAGGACAUUUGAAUGGAACUGAAGUUCACUGAAGGGGAUUGUAGUGAAGACAGCCAAAGCCACAGAGCAGUGGAUGCCAACACCCGUGUCCCAGUGCUUUUCCUGCUCUCAGCCCC